UACAGAGGUCUCAAGCGUUGUUCGGAUUCAUUGGGCGUAAAGGGUGCGUAGGUGGCGCGCUAAGUCAGGUGUGAAAUUUCGGAGCUUAACUCCGAAACUGCAUUUGAUACUGCCGUGCUUGAGGACUGGAGAGGAGACUGGAAUUCAUGGUGUAGCAGUGAAAUGCGUAGAGAUCAUGAGGAAGACCAGUGGCGAAGGCGGGUCUCUGGACAGUUCCUGACACUGAGGCACGAAGGCCAGGGGAGCAAACGGG
rnacentral:rRNA from 1 species